UCUUCAUAAUUGAUUCACGAUUCUAAUCGCGUACAGCAAAUAACUUCGAUGCCACGAUCGUUUCUAGACUAGUAGAUCCGAUCAUUGAGUCAUACAUGGAAAUAUCGAUCGGGUGAUCGUAAUACGCGUCCGACAUGCAUUCAACAAACAUUUGAACAGAAUCCAUGUUGGCGUUUGAAGAUUGAAAUUUCGAUGAUCAAGUUUCUACUGCUUAAACUAUUCAACAAUUGCACAACUGUGAUAUAACAAACGUAUUAUUGUUGUUAUUAUUAUAUAACAGAAGAGCAAACAUAAUUCUGUAGGCGCCUCGCUCGAACAGCAGACUAUAAAUCUGUAAUGAAUACUCAGAUGUUGGCAUUUAAUGUUCGAACAAUGUUCUUACACUAUAUUGCGGCGCAAAACUAUUGUCUCGGUCAUCGAUUGAGACGUAAAUAGUCGAUAUCCUCUUCGUCUCUGCAAUGACAAAUUUCUUCGCAUCACGCACGCGGCACGCUGCGCUUCGCGAUCGCGCGUAAAUUGGUCCCUGAAGAUUAGCACGGUCGCCGGUUGUGAACAGUUUGGCACGAUUCAGACGCGAUAAAUAGUUAACGGCGAGCCAUGCUUAUUGCCAAAUAUCACAGUGCUCGUGCGCAGGCGUGCAUGCAUUUUUAAAUAAAUUAUCUUGGCCAGCGGCGUCUCGAUAAUCUCGUUAGCGACGAUGUACUUUGUAACGCGUGAGUUUCCUUCGAUUCCAAACCCGUGUCAAUGUUCGAUUCGAAAAAUUUCUUCCUCCUACAACGCGUUCAUUUUUGUCGACCUUGCGGACGAAAGGUUUAGAAACUUGAAUAGGAGUUUGAACUUUGUGCCGCAAAGAGUUAAGCGAUAGGAAGACACGUGGCACUCGCAGAAUUGCUCAAGUAUCAUCGGGCUUUGAUCGUGAUAGCAGAAAGUUCGGACGGGCUGAUAAUCGGAUCAGACGGUUCGUCAACGAAGCGACCAAGAGGCAACAUAAUCGGGCGAGGUUGUAUCGACCUUGGUACGAGAUCUUGUUGAUUCUCAGCAAGGACGAUAUCAUCUGGCUGGAAAUUCUCCGUUGCCGUCUACCGCGGCCUAUUCGCUCUUUUCAAGGGAAACCAGUCUUAGCCGGGCUUCUGCAUCGGUUUUCUGCCCUCCGCACAGAUGUCGGUGUAAGGUUCUGCCAUCAACCGGUUACCGACCACUCGACCAGUUAUGCAGCAGUUUAAAACUCUGAGAUCGCAGCACGAGCCAGCGUUUUGUUUGCGAGAACGGAGUUUUCCUGAAUGAGAGCACCAGCCUGGCCUCCCCUCCGAUCACCUUUCUACCGUAUCUACGUCGUACUCAAAUGACACUGAAAGCGCGGAUGCAGAGAGCUCCGACCGACCGAAAUCAAUACCACGUUGGCCUACUACGCCGUGGCCUUCUUUUCAUCUAAAUCUGUUUGCCAUGGAAGACAAUAAAGGACAACUAAAACGGUCAUCUGUACUAAUUUCGUUCAAGAUUUCACCGAGUCUCGUCAUUGAAAUUCUCGUUUAACUCGAUUUAGGAUAGCUAUAACAAUUGUUUAUCUUUUUCCACUCUUCUACGUAUCAAAAACAAAUCAGAUUAUAUCGUAAAUUAUUCGAGAAUAUCCAGCGACAAACUACAGUGUUAAACGUUGCUUACGCCAACGGUAUUUGAAUAAAUUUUUAAUAUCGUGA